AUUGAACGCUGGCGGCAUGCCUUACACAUGCAAGUCGAACGGCAGCGGACCUUCGGGUGCCGGCGAGUGGCGAACGGGUGAGUAAUAUAUCGGAACGUACCUUUCAGUGGGGGAUAACGUAGCGAAAGUUACGCUAAUACCGCAUAUUCUGUGAGCAGGAAAGCAGGGGAUCGCAAGACCUUGCGCUGAUUGAGCGGCCGAUAUCAGAUUAGCUAGUUGGUGAGGUAAAGGCUCACCAAGGCGACGAUCUGUAGCGGGUCUGAGAGGAUGAUCAGCCACACUGGGACUGAGACACGGCCCAGACUCCUACGGGAGGCAGCAGUGGGGAAUAUUGGACAAUGGGCGCAAGCCUGAUCCAGCAAUGCCGCGUGUGUGAAGAAGGCCUCGGUUGUAAGUACGUC
rnacentral:rRNA from 1 species